rnacentral:rRNA from 1 species
UACGUAGGGGGCAAGCGUUAUCCGGAAUUAUUGGGCGUAAAGCGCGCGCAGGCGGUUUCUUAAGUCUGAUGUGAAGGCCCACGGCUCAACCGUGGAGGGUCAUUGGAAACUGGGGAACUUGAGUGCAGAAGAGAAAAGCGGAAUUCCACGUGUAGCGGUGAAAUGCGUAGAGAUGUGGAGGAACACCAGUGGCGAAGGCGGCUUUUUGGUCUGUAACUGACGCUGAGGCGCGAAAGCGUGGGGAGCAAACAGG